ACGCUCGACACCUACGGGAGGUAGCAGUGGGGAAUAUUGCACAAUGGGGGAAACCCUGAUGCAGCAACGCCGCGUGAAGGAAGACGGUUUUCGGAUUGUAAACUUCUGUUCUUAGUGAAGAUAGUGACGGUAGCUAAGGAGCAAGCCACGGCUAACUACGUGCCAGAAGCCGCGGUAAUCUGAGCGGGCUGGCAAGGC
rnacentral:rRNA from 1 species